UACGUAGGGGGCAAGCGUUAUCCGGAUUUACUGGGUGUAAAGGGAGCGUAGACGGCGAAGCAAGUCUGAAGUGAAAAUCCGGGGCUCAACUCCGGAAGUGCUUUGGAAACUGUUUUGAUAGAGUGUCGGAGAGGUAAGUGGAAUUCCUGGUGUAGCGGUGAAAUGCGUAGAUAUCAGGAAGAACACCGGAGGCGAAGGCGGCUUACUGGACGAUAACUGACGUUGAGGCUCGAAAGCGUGGGAAGCAAACAGG
rnacentral:rRNA from 1 species